AUGGCGGCGGCGGUGGGACGUGCGGGUCCCCGGCCGCGGGCUGCUCCUGCGCCCCGACCCUCCGCUCCCGCCGCGCGCCGGCYGGGCGCUCGCAAAUUCAAAAUGGCCUUUCCGCACCGCUCCUGCAGCCGCCGCUUAACAUCUGCCGUUUCCACAGUAACCCGGCGGCUGGCGGCGCGCGGAGAGGGGCGGCACGCAGCCGGCGCCGCCUCGCUCCCGUCCCAGCCAUCCUCCGGGCGAUGCAACCCCGGCCGGGCAAAGCCCCCGGGGCCGGCGCUCCCUCCCCGCUGGGGUUAUCCCGCCCGGCGGCGCGGCUCCGGGUGUCSGCAGGAGCCAGGAUGCCGCUCGGAGCAUCGCUCCCCGGGGGUUUGCAAAUCACGGAGGAUGCCGGCUUAUUUGCAUCCACGUGCUCAGUGCAGCAGAAACACCGCAGCGAGCGGAUUAAGCCCUUCAAGGCAACGGUCUUUUCGCCGGCUUUUCUCAGCCCGCCUCAUCCAUCGCUGCCCGGCGCGGCACCAGCRGACGCCUCAUUUUGGAGCGGACGCUCCGGCGUGGAAACCCAGCCCCCAGGAUGGCGGUGAAAUGAAGACGGAUAACAGCAGCCUCUCCGCUGGCAGGGCGCUGCGGAGCCUCGCAAGCGGGAUAUUCUCCAGCGGCAGGGGCGGCUCUCCGCGGCCGCACGGGGAGAUGGAGCCGCCGGGACGCGGGCGCACGUGCGGGAGGGUGCGUGCAAGAGCUGCCGGUUGUGAGGCCGGCCGGAGGGGAGCCAGGAGGACGGCUGCUCCCGCGGCGGCAGGCGCCUUGUGGCCUCGCUCGGAGCUAAUCCGCGCCGCACAGGCUGCCUCCCGCGCAGCAUCCCGGGAUGAGCCGCGGGGGAAUCGCCACCUAAUCCCCAGUGGAUGGGUGCCAGCAUCCCUCCAGCCUCCGGUGCAUCUGUCCCUGGCGCGGCUGGUCUCCGCUUCCAGGGCUGGGAAGUGCCGGAUCAGCCGCUCGCGCGAUGCCAAACACCGUCAUUGGCGUAUUAAUGCCCCAAUUUGCACACGCGCACGAGGGGCGCAGGAGCCAGGAGGGGAGGCCACGACGCGGAUGGGACAUCCCAACCGGACCGGCUCCGUCAGACGGCCCGAGGGAGCCGCGAGGGGCUGGUGGCCCCGGGCAGAGGGUGCUUCCAGCCCGCCGGGCUGCAGCCGGAGAGGCCCGAGCGGAGACGCCGAGGCUGGAGGGGGAACCGCAAGYGCAAACCGCGGGCUGCACCCGAGGGGCCGCAGCGGGAGCGGAGGGGCCGAGCGCGGCCCCGGCCGAGGCUGCCGCCAAUCCCGCUGCGGCGCAGCACAGCCCCGGGAGCGGGCACGGCGGCGGCGGCGGCAGCGGGACAGGCGGCGCGGGGGGGGAAGCUUUGAGGAAUUAAUGAGCCUGGUGGGAGGAAGUGCUAAAAUCCACCAGGAGAGGAGGCAGCAGGAGAAUCCUAAACAAAUCCGCCACGAUCACAUCUGCGAGGCUACGGCUGAAACGGAGACUGCAAGGAAGGGGCUGCAGAGAGCGCGGAGGCUUAGAGACCCCCGCGGGAGAGGAGAGGAGAUGCAGAGGGAGCCCGCCAAGGAGCUCAGCUUCGUCAAGGACGAACGUGGCGGGAGCAAACCGGACCCGCUGGGCGGUGGGCUUGUGCACGUACCCCCCGCCACGGCACAGCCGUGGGUCCACGUGCCAACAGCGACCACAGGUCUGCCAUGCCGAUGCUGCGUGCUCGUGGCAAGAGCCRACCUCUGCCCAGCACUAAUUCCACCCUAA
rnacentral:lncRNA from 1 species